UUGCUUUUUUGCUGACGACCGGCGCACGGGUGCGUAACGCGUAUACAAUCUACCUCUUACUGAGGGAUAGCCCAGAGAAAUUUGGAUUAACACCUCAUAGUAUGUUGAUUUGGCAUCAGAUUAACAUUAAAGGUUACGGUAAGAGAUGAGUAUGCGUUCUAUUAGCUAGUAGGUAUGGUAACGGCAUACCUAGGCGACGAUAGAUAGGGGCCCUGAGAGGGGGAUCCCCCACACUGGUACUGAGACACGGACCAGACUCCUACGGGAGGCAGCAGUGAGGAAUAUUGGUCAAUGGAGGCAACUCUGAACCAGCCAUGCCGCGUGCAGGAAGACUGCCCUAUGGGUUGUAAACUGCUUUUAUACAGGAAGAAACACCUCUACGUGUAGAGGCUUGACGGUACUGUAAGAAUAAGGAUCGGCUAACUCCGUGCCAGCAGCCGCGGUAAUACGGAGGAUCCAAGCGUUAUCCGGAAUCAUUGGGUUUAAAGGGUCCGU
rnacentral:rRNA from 1 species